rnacentral:rRNA from 1 species
UACGUAGGUGGCGAGCGUUGUCCGGAAUUACUGGGUGUAAAGGGCGUGUAGGCGGGUCUGCAAGUCAGAUGUGAAAUUCCGGGGCUUAACCCCGGCGCUGCAUUUGAAACUGCGGGUCUUGAGUAUCGGAGAGGGAAGUGGAAUUCCUAGUGUAGCGGUGAAAUGCGUAGAUAUUAGGAGGAACACCAGUGGCGAAGGCGACUUUCUGGACGAUAACUGACGCUGAGGCGCGAAAGCGUGGGGAGCAAAC